rnacentral:piRNA from 1 species
GGGUCAAAGGUGACAUCCAGGUCUCC